rnacentral:lncRNA from 1 species
AUCGGGCACUGAAGUAAUAGCUGAAACCUCAAAAACUCUUGUGAAAUGGAGUUUUGUUUUCUGGCUAGCCCAUGUGUUUUGGUGUAUGAGUAGCUGACAUCAGUGCGAGUCGGUGAUGAACUUUUUAGUUCCUUUAAAAUGAGGAACUAAAGUCAGUGAGCUACAAUGGGACAGACAGUUAUUGACAUUUUUAUCUGGCUCUCUAUUGCAGAAGCAACCACAAAAACAGCAGACCACCACACAUUGAACUUUCUAAUCAGACGACCAACCCUAACUUUGAUGUGGCAGGAUUGCCAUUGGAAGAAGUGAAAGGUAAUUCAACUUUGCUUCUUUUGGUCAGUGUUUACUGUGCAAAAUUAUACCAGUCUGGUUGUUAUAGUAUGUAUUACCUAAGCAAAGACCAUGUCUUUUAUUUUUAACAUCUUGUGAGGCAUACAAUGCCAUAGAAGUGAAAGGGCAGUGCAUUGUCUGUUACGUUUGACUCAUCUUUAAUCAUCCAUCAUAUCAAAGUGAUUCAACUCUUAGCAAAAUACACACUUAGAUCUGGAGCAUACAGUGUGCCUGCUUGAAAUAUUUCACAUUCUGAGUUUGUGGGUCACAUGAUGCAUAUGUGAUUUGUGUAGUUUCAAUGUUUCCUUGUAUGAAGAAAAUGAAAUUUUCUAUUUUCACUCCUCCUGUUAAAGCAUGUUAGUUAUGUUAGGUUCUGUCUGAAAAAGUUCUACGUGUUCCUUAAAAUUCAAAUAUUAUCUCUAAAUCUGCAGCAACUGCUGAGAUAAAAUUGUAGAAAUGCUGACUUUCAUUUCAUUGUCUGGCUUUCAGUAUACUUCCUAACAUUUGGCAGCUUUUCCCCAUGUACCAGCCUCAUUUUAUAGCCCUGCUGUUAUGUUCUUGAACUUUGUCAUGACUAUGAUCCUAGGGCAUCUGAACUGUCAGAUAUAAAAGUGGGAAGAGAGAAAGAGGGUAGGAGAGUUGUAGAAGGCGAAAAGCUUAGUAACAUGCUGAUGAAUUUCCUUCCAGCAGAUAGUUUUCACUUUGCCUUCAUUGCUGUCACAUUUCCUUAAAUAAUAGGAAGACUUUUCCACUAAUGGGCAAUGGAGGCUGUUUGCCUGAUGAGAACUUGCAGAGGCAGCCUGCCAUGUGCCUUUAUCUUUUAAACUGAGGUGAAACAAGCUUGCCUGGCUGCAGAUAAGCAGCUUAGAAGCAGUCCUAUUCAGAUGUACCUGUCACUAAUUUAUCUAGGUUUUUUUGUA